rnacentral:rRNA from 1 species
GAUGAACGCUGGCGGCGUGCUUAAUACAUGCAAGUCGAACGAACGGGCGAGAAGCUUGCUUUUCUGAUGUUAGCGGCGGACGGGUGAGUAACACGUGGAUAAUCUACUUAUAAUUCUGAUAUAACUUCGGGAAACCGGAUCUAAUACCGUAUGAUAUUUUGAAGCGCAGUGUGCAAAAGUGAGAUACGGUCGUUCUGUCUCUUAUAGAUGCAUCCGGGCUGCAUUAGCUAGUUGUUAAGGUAACGGCUUACCAAGGCGACGAUGCAUAGCCGACCUGAGAGGGUGAUCGGCGGCCCUGGAAGUGAGACACGCACAAGACUCCUACGGGAGGCAGCAGUCGGGAACGGUAGGCAAUGGGCGAGAGCAUGACGGAGCAGCGCCGCGUCUGUGAUGACGGUGCUCGGAGCGUAAAACUCUGUUAUUAGUGAAGAACAUCUGUGUCAGUUGCUGUGGCCAGCUUGACGGUACCUAGUCAAGAAGCAACGGCUAACUACGUG